UCCACAGAGGUCCCACCAUAGACCAUAGACCAUAGAUAGUAUGUUCUGGUCCAUAGAGGUCCCAACAAAAACCUCCAUUAUGUUCUGGUCCAUAGACCUCCAGUAUGUUCUGGUCCACAGAGGUUCUACCAUAGAGGUCCAGUAUGUUCUGGUCCAUAGAGGUCCAGUAUGUUCUGGUCCAUAGAGGUCCAGUAUGUUCUGGUCCAUAGACCUCCAGUAUGUUCUGGUCCAUAGACCUCCAGUAUGUUCUGGUCCAUAGAGGUCCCACCAUA
rnacentral:lncRNA from 13 species